rnacentral:rRNA from 1 species
AUUGAACGCUGGCGGCAGGCCUAACACAUGCAAGUCGAGCGGUAGCACAGAGAGCUUGCUCUCGGGUGACGAGCGGCGGACGGGUGAGUAAUGUCUGGGAAACUGCCUGAUGGAGGGGGAUAACUACUGGAAACGGUAGCUAAUACCGCAUAACGUCGCAAGACCAAAGUGGGGGACCUUCGGGCCUCAUGCCAUCAGAUGUGCCCAGAUGGGAUUAGCUAGUAGGUGGGGUAAUGGCUCACCUAGGCGACGAUCCCUAGCUGGUCUGAGAGGAUGACCAGCCACACUGGAACUGAGACACGGUCCAGACUCCUACGGGAGGCAGCAGUGGGGAAUAUUGCACAAUGGGCGCAAGCCUGAUGCAGCCAUGCCGCGUGUGUGAAGAAGGCCUUCGGGUUGUAAAGCACUUUCAGCGGGGAGGAAGGCGGUGAGGUUAAUAACCUCAUCGAUUGACGUUACCCGCAGAAGAAGCACCGGCUAACUCCGUGCCAGCAGCCGCGGUAAUACGGAGGGUGCAAGCGUUAAUCGGAAUUACUGGGCGUAAAGCGCACGCAGGCGGUCUGUCAAGUCGGAUGUGAAAUCCCCGGGCUCAACCUGGGAACUGCAUUCGAAACUGGCAGGCUAGAGUCUUGUAGAGGGGGGUAGAAUUCCAGGUGCAGCGGUGAAAUGCGUAGAGAUCUGGAGGAAUACCGGUGGCGAAGGCGGCCCCCUGGACAAAGACUGACGCUCAGGUGCGAAAGCGUGGGGAGCAAACAGGAUUAGAUACCCUGGUAGUCCACGCCGUAAACGAUGUCGAUUUGGAGGUUGUGCCCUUGAGGCGUGGCUUCCGGAGCUAACGCGUUAAAUCGACCGCCUGGGGAGUACGGCCGCAAGGUUAAAACUCAAAUGAAUUGACGGGGGCCCGCACAAGCGGUGGAGCAUGUGGUUUAAUUCGAUGCAACGCGAAGAACCUUACCUGGUCUUGACAUCCACAGAACUUUCCAGAGAUGGAUUGGUGCCUUCGGGAACUGUGAGACAGGUGCUGCAUGGCUGUCGUCAGCUCGUGUUGUGAAAUGUUGGGUUAAGUCCCGCAACGAGCGCAACCCUUAUCCUUUGUUGCCAGCGGUCCGGCCGGGAACUCAAAGGAGACUGCCAGUGAUAAACUGGAGGAAGGUGGGGAUGACGUCAAGUCAUCAUGGCCCUUACGACCAGGGCUACACACGUGCUACAAUGGCAUAUACAAAGAGAAGCGACCUCGCGAGAGCAAGCGGACCUCAUAAAGUAUGUCGUAGUCCGGAUUGGAGUCUGCAACUCGACUCCAUGAAGUCGGAAUCGCUAGUAAUCGUAGAUCAGAAUGCUACGGUGAAUACGUUCCCGGGCCU